rnacentral:guide_RNA from 1 species
AAGCCCACUAGGGCAGUAUAUAGUAUCGUAU